rnacentral:lncRNA from 1 species
UUUUUUAUAUAUUAAAUAGCAAACAACAUUUUUGUUAUACGUGUACUAGUAUCAUGUUUAAUACAAGUUUUUUAAUGGUUCAUAUACAUUAUAUACACUGCUCCAGUCUUGAACUAUCAUUUCCAUCCAAUGUUUUUUCAAAUCAUGAUCUGGAUGUAAACCAUCACGAAGUUUUUUAUAUGAAUAAACGCUUCCUCUCCUUCCUUUGUGCUGUCUUAGGGCCCUAUGCAAGGGUGUGUGGACUUGAGUUUCUUUCUGAUUAAAGUCAUUUAUAAAAUCCUCAUUUAUUCUACAUACAAAAUUCUCAUAUGAUUGCUGAUGAUUACGAGUUGAAGUUCCAAAUUUUUCACUCUUAUGAGGAUAUUUUCUGAUGGUUCGUUCUAAUUCUUUAGGGGGUAUUGUUGCAAUUACAACUAUGGCGUUAAAAGCCACUGUCUUCACUGCUAUUUCAAUUUGGUUAAAACUUCUUUACGAUUCGUUUGUAUAAUACAUCUAAGUCCUCUCCAGUUCUACCAUAAAUAUCCUCAGGAAUGUUAUUCAUCCCGACACUCAGAAAGACCACAACGCGGCUCUGAUUGCAAAGUAUUUUAAAGUUUUCACUCCUCACGUAUCGCUUAACGUCACCCAACUUCAAACCAGAAACACAGUGAUAGUUUAUUCUUCUGACAAUAUUUCUGUGGGAUCCCAAAUUAAUUCUUUCAACGCCACACAAUCUAGAAUCGCUAAUAAAAAUUCAUUUGGAGUACAAUAUUAU